rnacentral:rRNA from 1 species
AUUGAACGCUGGCGGCAGGCCUAACACAUGCAAGUCGAACGAGUGGCGGACGGGUGAGUAAUGUCUGGGAAACUGCCUGAUGGAGGGGGAUAACUACUGGAAACGGUAGCUAAUACCGCAUACCCUCGGAUGUGCCCAGAUGGGAUUAGCUAGUAGGUGGGGUAAAGGCUCACCUAGGCGCCGAUCCCUAGCUGGUCUGAGAGGAUGACCCGCCACACUGGAACGGUGACACGGACCAGACUCCUACGGGAGGCAGCAGUGGGAAAUAUUGGACAAGGAGCGGAAGCCUGAUGCAGCCAUGCCGCGUGUAUGAGAAGGGCCUUCGGGUUGUAAAGUACUUUCAGCGGGGAGGCGUUACCCGCAGAAGAAGCACCGGCUAACUCCGUGCCAGCAGCCGCGGUAAUUC